rnacentral:rRNA from 1 species
AACGAACGCUGGCGGCAGGCUUAACACAGGCAAGUCGAGCGCCCCGCAAGGGGAGCGGCAGACGGGUGAGUAAAGCGUGGGAAUCUACCCAGCUCUACGGAACAACUCCGGGAGACUGGAGCUAAUACAGUAUACGGCCUUCGGGAGAAAGAUUUAUCGGAGUUGGAUGAGCCCGCGUGGGAUUAGCUAGUUGGUGGGGGAAUGGCCUACCAAGGCGACGAUCAAUAGCUGGUCUGGGAGGAUGAUCAGCAACACUUGGACUGAGACGCGGCCCAGCCUCCUACGGGAGGCAGCAGUGGGGAAUAUUGGACAAUGGGCGAAAGGCUGACCCAGCCAUGCCGCGUGAGUGAUGAAGGCCAUAGGGUUAUAAAGCUCUUUCACCGGUGAAGAUAAUGCCGCUAACCGGAGAAGAAGCCCCGGCUCACUGCGUGCCAGACGCCGCUGUAAAAC